rnacentral:rRNA from 1 species
UACGUAGGUGGCGAGCGUUACCGGAAUUAUUGGGCGUAAAGAGCGCGCAGGUGGUUGAUUAAGUCUGAUGUGAAAGCCCACGGCUUAACCGUGGAGGGUCAUUGGAAACUGGUCGACUUGAGUGCAGAAGAGGGAAGUGGAAUUCCAUGUGUAGCGGUGAAAUGCGUAGAGAUAUGGAGGAACACCAGUGGCGAAGGCGGCUUCCUGGUCUGUAACUGACACUGAGGCGCGAAAGCGUGGGGAGCAAACAGG